CGUUCAACCUCAAAAGAAGCAGAGGGGGCUUAGUGGUGGGGUGACUGCGUACCUUUUGUAUAAUGGGUCAGCGACUUAUAUUCUGUAGCAAGGUUAACCGCAUAGGGGAGCCGGAGGGAAACCGAGUCUUAAUUGGGCGUUAAGUUGCAGGGUAUAGACCCGAAACCCGGUGAUCUAGCCAUGGGCAGGUUGAAGGUUGGGUAACACUAACUGGAGGACCGAACCGACUAAUGUUGAAAAAUUAGCGGAUGACCUGUGGCUGGGGGUGAAAGGCCAAUCAAACCGGGAGAUAGCUGGUUCUCCCCGAAAGCUAUUUAGGUAGCGCCUCGUGAAUUCAUCUCCGGGGGUAGAGCACUGUUUCGGCUAGGGGGCCAUCCCGGCUUACCAACCCGAUGCAAACUGCGAAUACCGGAGAAUGUUAUCACGGGAGACACACGGCGGGUGCUAACGUCCGUCGUGAAGAGGGAAACAACCCAGACCGCCAGCUAAGGUCCCAAAGUCAUGGUUAAGUGGGAAACGAUGUGGGAAGGCCCAGACAGCCAGGAUGUUGGCUUAGAAGCAGCCAUCAUUUAAAGAAAGCGUAAUAGCUCACUGGUCGAGUCGGCCUGCGCGGAAGAUGUAACGGGGCUAAACCAUGCACCGAAGCUGCGGCAGCGACACUGUGUGUUGUUGGGUAGGGGAGCGUUCUGUAAGCCUGUGAAGGUGGCCUGUGAGGGUUGCUGGAGGUAUCAGAAGUGCGAAUGCUGACAUAAGUAACGAUAAAGCGGGUGAAAAGCCCGCUCGCCGGAAGACCAAGGGUUCCUGUCCAACGUUAAUCGGGGCAGGGUGAGUCGACCCCUAAGGCGAGGCCGAAAGGCGUAGUCGAUGGGAAACGGGUUAAUAUUCCCGUACUUGGUGUUACUGCGAAGGGGGGACGGAGAAGGCUAUGUUGGCCGGGCGACGGUUGUCCCGGUUUAAGCGUGUAGGUGUGUGUUCCAGGUAAAUCCGGUUCACUUUAACACUGAGGCGUGACGACGAGGCACUACGGUGCUGAAGCAACAAAUGCCCUGCUUCCAGGAAAAGCCUCUAAGCAUCAGGUAACAUCAAAUCGUACCCCAAACCGACACAGGUGGUCAGGUAGAGAAUACCAAGGCGCUUGAGAGAACUCGGGUGAAGGAACUAGGCAAAAUGGUGCCGUAACUUCGGGAGAAGGCACGCUGACACGUAGGUGAAGUGAUUUACUCAUGGAGCUGAAGUCAGUCGAAGAUACCAGCUGGCUGCAACUGUUUAUUAAAAACACAGCACUGUGCAAACACGAAAGUGGACGUAUACGGUGUGACGCCUGCCCGGUGCCGGAAGGUUAAUUGAUGGGGUCAGCGCAAGCGAAGCUCCUGAUCGAAGCCCCGGUAAACGGCGGCCGUAACUAUAACGGUCCUAAGGUAGCGAAAUUCCUUGUCGGGUAAGUUCCGACCUGCACGAAUGGCGUAAUGAUGGCCAGGCUGUCUCCACCCGAGACUCAGUGAAAUUGAACUCGCUGUGAAGAUGCAGUGUACCCGCGGCAAGACGGAAAGACCCCGUGAACCUUUACUAUAGCUUGACACUGAACAUUGAGCCUUGAUGUGUAG
rnacentral:rRNA from 1 species